GUCCACGCCGUAAACGAUGUGUGCUAGACGUCGGAUGUUCGGCAUUCGGUGUCGGAGCUAACGCAUUAAGCACACCGCCUGGGGAGUACGGCCGCAAGGUUAAAACUCAAAGGAAUUGACGGGGGCCCGCACAAGCGGUGGAGCAUGUGGUUUAAUUCGACGCAACGCGCAGAACCUUACCAGCCCUUGACAUCCCGGUUUUGGGGAGUGGAGACACACCCUAUCAGUUCGGCUGGACCGGAG
rnacentral:rRNA from 1 species